AUACGGAGGAUCCGAGCGUUAUCCGGAUUUAUUGGGUUUAAAGGGUGCGCAGGCGGCCAUUUAAGUCAGCGGUUAAAUCGUGGGGCUCAACCCCAUUCUGCCGUUGAUACUGGGUGGCUUGAUUGCGGUCGAGGUUGGCGGAAUUCGUUGUGUAGCGGUGAAAUGCAUAGAUAUGACGAAGAACACCGAUCGCGUAGGCAGCUGACCAGACCGCAAAUGACGCUCAUGCACGAAAGUGCGGGGAUCGAACAGGAUUAGAUACCCUGGUAGUCCGCACAGUAAACGAUGAAUACUUGUUUUCGGCGAUAUAAUGUCGGAGGCAAAGCGAAAGCGAUAAGUAUUCCACCUGGGGAGUACGCCGGCAACGGUGAAACUUAAAGGAAUUGACGGGG
rnacentral:rRNA from 1 species